rnacentral:rRNA from 1 species
GUGGGGAAUAUUGGACAAUGGGCGAAAGCCUGAUCCAGCCAUGCCGCGUGUGUGAAGAAGGUCUUCGGAUUGUAAAGCACUUUAAGUUGGGAGGAAGGGCAGUAAGUUAAUACCUUGCUGUUUUGACGUUACCAACAGAAUAAGCACCGGCUAACUUCGUGCCAGCAGCCGCGGUAAUACGAAGGGUGCAAGCGUUAAUCGGAAUUACUGGGCGUAAAGCGCGCGUAGGUGGUUCAGCAAGUUGGAGGUGAAAUCCCCGGGCUCAACCUGGGAACUGCCUCCAAAACUGCAUGACUAGAGUACGGUAGAGGGUAGUAGAAUUUCCUGUGUAGCGGUGAAAUGCGUAGAUAUAGGAAGGAACACCAGUGGCGAAGGCGACUACCUGGACUGAUACUGACACUGAGGUGCGAAAGCGUGGGGAGCAAACAGGAUUAGAAACCCUGGUAGUCC